rnacentral:misc_RNA from 1 species
CCUUCGGACCAAAAUUGUUGUAUGGCUUGUGUGGGGCGAGGGGCACAACGUGAAUCCGUAAUAGGCCAUGGCGGGUGUCUUUUUAAGCAUCCAAGCCAUACAACAAUUUGGGGUUGCGAGCUGAUGAUAUGGUUGUUGUCGGAUNAUAUGGUUGUUAUCGAUGUAUGCUUAUUGUCGGAUGAUAUGGUUGCCUAUCGAUGUAUGCUUAUUGUCGGAUGAUAUGGUUGCUUAUCGAUGUAUGGCUUGUGUGGGGCGAGAGGCACAACGUGGAACCGUAAAAGGAUCUGCAAGGGUUUCCCAAACCACACAAGCCAUACAUCGGUUGUAAGUCGGAUGUCGCUUAUCGAUGUUUGGCUUGUGUGGGGAGAGAAGCACAACGUGGAACCGUAAAAGGAUCUGCAAGGGUUUCCCAAACCACACAAGCCAUACAUCGGUUGUAAGUCGGAUGUCGCUUAUCGAUGUUUGGCUUGUGUGGGGAGAGAAGCACAACGUGGAACCGUAAAAGGAUCUGCAAGGGUUUCCCAAACCACACAAGCCAUACAUCGGUUGUAAGUCGGAUGUCGCUUAUCGAUGUUUGGCUUGUGUGGGGAGAGAAGCACAACGUGGAACCGUAAAAGGAUCUGCAAGGGUUUCCCAAACCACACAAGCCAUACAUCGGUUGUUAGUCGGAUGUCGCUUAUCGAUGUUUGGCUUGUGUGGGGAGAGAAGCACAACGUGGAACCGUAAAAGGAUCUGCAAGGGUUUCCCAAACCACACAAGCCAUACAUCGGUUGUAAGUCGCAAAACAACCACAAUUGUUGUAUUGCUUGGAUGUGUGCGAGAGGCACAACGUGAAUCCGUAAUAGGCCAUGGCGGGUGUCUUUUUAAGCAUCCAAACCAUACAACAAUUAGGGGGGAUUAUUCUAGCGGGUUUCGUUCUCUUCGUAUCGUGC